UACGUAGGGCGCGAGCGUUGUCCGGAAUUAUUGGGCGUAAAGAGCUCGUAGGCGGCCGGUUGCGUCUGCUGUGAAAUCCCGGGGCUUAACCCCGGGCGUGCAGUGGAUACGGGCCGGCUGGAGGCAGGCAGGGGAGAAUGGAAUUCCCGGUGUAGCGGUGAAAUGCGCAGAUAUCAGGAGGAACACCGGUGGCGAAGGCGGGUCUCUGGGCCGAAAACUGACGCUGAGGAGCGAAAGCGUGGGGAGCGAACAGG
rnacentral:rRNA from 1 species